UUUUUGUUAAUAGGAAAUAAUCGUAAAAGGAUAUCUGUACAUUGAUGAGAUUCAGUGAUUCAAAGUGGUCACACAACUAUAAAUAAACAAUUAACACUAUGUGCACGCACACUCCAAAAGAUUAUAAAAAUUGGCCGUAUUUACUGUUAUCGAGCAUGCAUUUCAAUGAUCGAUGAUGAUUCGUUGACAGAAGAACUAGCAGUCGGAUUCGACUUAUCGACGUCACCUGAGCUAUCUAACAAGAGCCCUUUUGAAAGAAAAUAUGGCGGUUUUUUCGGCUGGGGUAAAGUAAUAGAGUUGUUAUUAAGCAUAUUGAGAACACUAGCCAUGGAAGGCCUUGCAUCUGCAUCUUCUUGCACACAUAAUAAACCGAUGUUGAUGCACCUAACGACAUCGUUUUCCGAGUAAGAAGAUUCAGCAAGUGAUGGGUCCAGUAGCUCCAACGCUCUUCCACCCGUCCAUAGUUUCCAAGCCUGGUAGGAGAUCCUCAACAUCAUCUGGUUGAUAAAAGCUAGAGUUUCUUCGCCCACUAACAAUCUCGAGAACUAUGACACCGAAACUAAACACGUCAGAUUUCACUGAAAAAUGUCCAUGCAUUGCGUACUCUGGCGACAUAUAUCCACUGGUUCCAGCAACUUUCUUUGUGUUUCCUAGAGUUUGAUCCCCCUCAAAAGUCCUAGCCAAUCCAAAAUCCGCGAUUUUUGCAUUCAUGUCCUGAUCUAGUAAAAUAUUACUAGCUUUGAGAUCCCGAUGGAUGAUUCGUAACCGUGAAUCUUCAUGUAGAUAAAGCAAUCCUCUAGUGAUCCCUCCAAUAAUUUUCCAUCGUGUUACCCAAUCCAAAUGCCCAUGUU
rnacentral:lncRNA from 1 species